AUGUAUCAGUCGUCCACAGCGGUCCCGAGCGCGCCGUCCGCACCCACCUGACGACUGCCCGCUACGUGUUGCUAGCC
rnacentral:sRNA from 4 species